UACAGAGGUCCCAAGCGUUGUUCGGAUUCACUGGGCGUAAAGGGUGCGUAGGCGGUCGGGUAAGUCUGAUGUGAAAUCUUCAAGCUCAACUUGGAAACUGCAUCGGAUACUAUUCGGCUAGAGGAAUGGAGGGGAGACUGGAAUACUUGGUGUAGCAGUGAAAUGCGUAGAUAUCAAGUGGAACACCAGUGGCGAAGGCGAGUCUCUGGACAUUUCCUGACGCUGAGGCACGAAAGCCAGGGGAGCAAACGGG
rnacentral:rRNA from 1 species